UACGUAGGGGGCUAGCGUUGUCCGGAAUCAUUGGGCGUAAAGAGCGCGUAGGCGGCCCGGUAAGUCCGCUGUAAAAGUCACAGGCUCAACCUGUGAAUGUCAGUGGAUACUGCCGGGCUAGAGUCCGGAAGAGGCGAGUGGAAUUCCUGGUGUAGCGGUGGAAUGCGCAGAUAUCAGGAGGAACACCAACGGCGAAGGCAGCUCGCUGGGACGGUACUGACGCUGAGGCGCGAAAGCGUGGGGAGCAAACAGG
rnacentral:rRNA from 1 species